AGUGAACGCUGGCGGUAGGCCUAACACAUGCAAGUCGAACGGCAGCACAGUAAGAGCUUGCUCUUACGGGUGGCGAGUGGCGGACGGGUGAGGAAUACAUCGGAAUCUACUUUUUCGUGGGGGAUAACGUAGGGAAACUUACGCUAAUACCGCAUACGACCUACGGGCGAAAUCAGGGGAUCUUCGGACCUUUCGCGAUUGAAUGAGCCGAUGUCGGAUUAGCUAGUUGGCGGGGUAAAGGCCCACCAAGGCGACGAUCCGUAGCUGGUCUGAGAGGAUGAUCAGCAACACGGGAACUGAGACACGGUACAGACUCAUACGGGAGGCAGCAGUGGGGAAUAUUGGACAAUGGGCGCAAGCCUGAUCCAGCCAUACCGCGUGGGUGAAGAAGGCCUUCGGGUUGUAAAGCCCUUUUGUUGGGAAAGAAAAGAAGCAGGUUAAUACCCCGCUGUUCUGACGGUACCCAAAGAAUAAGCACCGGCUAACUUCGUG
rnacentral:rRNA from 1 species